UCUCUACUGCUAUAAAUACUACUGCCCUUCCCAUAACUCAUAGCCCUUCAUACUCAGAUAUUUCAGAAGAUCUAGCUACCAAGCUGCUUCAUCGUCUUCUUCUUCCUCUUCUGCUGGUGGCUUAGGAGUUUAAAUAGUGUGGAAGAAUCUGUUAAGCUCAGGAGGGAUAGCGCCAUUCUCGGUUUGGUUUAACCACGUAUCGCGCUAUCCAUCUUGGGCUUCAUGGCUUCUUCUUACUCUCUCUUGCAGUACAACUUUGGCAUAAAGAACACUUCAAUUUUUCAUCGCCAAAAGAAACAUCUGGUAAACAAAAAUGUGUUGCAAGCGAAACAUAUCUGCUUGAAAGCUGAAACAUCUGCAGACUCAGUGUUUGACUUUGAGUCAAAUGAAGGGAUCUUGAAUGUUUGCCAAGAUUUCAAAGAGACGGACUAGCGGCCCUUACAUCUGAACGAAGGGAUCAUUUCAAGAUUUUACAGAGACGGACCAAUGACACCUAUAUCUGAAUGAGGGGAUGUAGGCCAUUUUCAUGUUCAAUUUAUCUGUUCCGUUUACAUCUGAAUUUGAUGUUUUUCUUUUAUUAUUUAGCAAUUUGAAGCUAAAUAUUUGCUUAAUUAAGCUUAACUUGUAAAAACCCCCCAAUGCCAAGGAACAAUAUAAAUAUGUAUGUCCUUGAUAUACGAUAAUGAUUUUCCUUUGAUUA